rnacentral:lncRNA from 1 species
CAGCUCUGAAUAAAUUGAAUUCUGGGCACUGCCAUGUCCCAGCUGACCCCUCUCCUUUGCUGCUCCCCACAGAUCCCCCUCCCCAGCCAGUGCUGGGGCUGGAUCCCCCUUCUGGAGCAGUGAGCGAAGGACUCCCCCUGCUCAUCAUCUGUGCGGUCUCCAGAGAUGCCAGAGAGUGGAGAUUUCACUUCUACAAGGAUGGAGCUGAGAUCAUCCCUGGGGACAUGGGGUCUGAGAUCAACACCACGGAGCCUGGCACUGUCUCUAUGAAUGUCUCUGUGCUCAGCAUCCCACAGGCCGGUCCCAACAACACCGGGGAAUUCACCUGCAGGUACGAGGAGAACGUGAGCGGGAGGUGGAUCCCGUCCCCCAGGAGCCGGGCUGUGAACGUGACUGUGAACGUCACCGGGACAGCCUCUUACAGUACCCGUGAUAUUCUGCUGACAACAGGUGGCCUCUUGCUUCUGGUUGGAGCCAUUGCUGCUCUCAUCUGUUACUGCAGGAGGAAGAAAAGAGUUCCAAAGCCUCAGAAAAACAUUGAGGGAUCUGAGCCCAGAGGAUGUGCCAGAAACCUGCAUCCUGAUCAUGAUCAUCAGGGAUCUAAAGCCAGGGUUCCUGGUGCAGAGCAGAUGGAACAGGGCUCUGAAGUCACCUACGCGCUCAUGGUAUUCCCGGCCUUGGAGGCCCAGGCAACCCAGUCGAAAAACAAAGCCAAGCCUGCUGAAGAUGAGCAUGUGCUGUAUAGCGAGGUGGUGACAACGUGCACCCGAAAGGCAGCUAAAUAAGGAGGGGAAACCCUCUCUACGUCUCUCUGCAUCUUCUCCUCCUCCAGGCAUCCGUAUCCUUAACCCUUUAUAUCUCAAGAUCCCUUUUAUGCCACUUGGCAAAGCGCACACCCAACACACUUGUCAGACUAUUUAGCCAACCAGCAGCUUGUCGGGUAUCAUAGAAAAACUUGUGACCCACUGCCCGGGAAUAUCACUGUAUGAUGUACGUACGGGUUGUGUAGAAAGAGUUACAUAUGUAUGCUGGAAAUAUGUUGUGGGUGUGGUUGCUAAACAAGCGACAAAGAGUCCUGUGGCACCUUAUAGACUAACAGAUGUAUUGGAGCAUAAGCUACCACUCUGAUACUUGAUAAACAAGGUGGCCGGAGACAAAGGAAUGUGGACUUAUCAGUCUCCAUGCAUCAAGCAAACUGGCAGAUAAGAAAAACAGGAUGGCUUGUGUGAUGCUGGGAAGUCUGAUCUCCGCUCUUGCCAGGCUGCAGGCAUUAGCUAAGAACUGACAACCUCAUAGCUGGAGAUCAGAGCAGGUCACCUGUAUAUUCUUUUUUCUCUAAAUAG